AUUGAACGCUGGCGGCAGGCCUAACACAUGCAAGUCGAGCGCAGCGGCGGACGGGUGUGUGAUGCCUAGUAAUCUGCCUGUUAGUGGGCUAUCCCGUCCGGAAACGGGCCCUCAUACCGCAUACUUUCCCCUCAGCCUCGGUCGGAUUAGCUCGUUGUUGCGGUAAAGGCUUACCAAGGCGAUGCUCCGUAACUGGUCUGAGAGGCUGAUCAGUCACACUGGAACUGAGACACGGUCCAGACUCCGACGGGAGGCAGCAGUGGGGAAUAUUGGACAAUGGGCGAAAGCCUGAUCCAGCAAUGCCGCGUGUGUGAAGAAGGUCUUCGGAUUGUAAAGCACUGUAAGUUGGGAGGCGUUACCAACAGAAUAAGCAACGGCUAACUUCGUGCCAGCCGCCGCGGUAAUUC
rnacentral:rRNA from 1 species